GCUUACGGCCACACCGCCUGGUAUACGCUUUGAUCUCGGAAGCUAAGGUAGGUUGGGCCUGGUUAGUACUUGGAUGGGAGACCGCCUGGGGAAUACCAGGUGCUGUAAGCU
rnacentral:rRNA from 1 species